rnacentral:rRNA from 1 species
AUGGUUAAGUUAGAAAGGGCGCACGGUGGAUGCCUUGGCACUAGGAGCCGAUGAAGGACGGGACGAACACCGAUAUGCUUCGGGGAGCUGUAAGCAAGCUUUGAUCCGGAGAUUUCCGAAUGGGGAAACCCACUGCUCGUAAUGGAGUAGUAUCCAUACUUGAAUACAUAGAGUAUGAGAAGGCAUACCCGGGGAACUGAAACAUCUAAGUACCCGGAGGAAGAGAAAGCAAAUGCGAUUCCCUGAGUAGCGGCGAGCGAAACGGGAACAGCCCAAACCAAGAGGCUUGCCUCUUGGGGUUGUAGGACACUCUAUACGGAGUUACAAAGGAACGAUAUAAGCGAAGAGGUCUGGAAAGGCCCGCCAAAGAAGGUAACAGCCCUGUAACUGAAAUGUUGUUCUCUCCAGAGUGGAUCCUGAGUACGGCGGAACACGUGAAAUUCCGUCGGAAUCCGGGAGGACCAUCUCCCAAGGCUAAAUACUCCCUAGUGACCGAUAGUGAACCAGUACCGUGAGGGAAAGGUGAAAAGCACCCCGGAAGGGGAGUGAAAUAGAUCCUGAAACCGUGUGCCUACAAGUAGUCAGAGCCCGUUAAAGGGUGAUGGCGUGCCUUUUGUAGAAUGAACCGGCGAGUUACGAUCCCGUGCAAGGUUAAGCAGAAGAUGCGGAGCCGCAGCGAAAGCGAGUCUGAAUAGGGCGCAUGAGUACGUGGUCGUAGACCCGAAACCAGGUGAUCUACCCAUGUCCAGGGUGAAGUUCAGGUAACACUGAAUGGAGGCCCGAACCCACGCACGUUGAAAAGUGCGGGGAUGAGGUGUGGGUAGGGGUGAAAUGCCAAUCGAACCUGGAGAUAGCUGGUUCUCUCCGAAAUAGCUUUAGGGCUA